UACGGGGGGGGCAAGCGUUGUUCGGAAUUACUGGGCGUAAAGGGUUCGUAGGUGGCCAACUAAGUCAGACGUGAAAUCCCUCAGCUUAACUGGGGAACUGCGUCUGAUACUGGAUGGCUUGAGUGCAGGAGAGGAACGCGGAAUUCCAGGUGUAGCGGUGAAAUGCGUAGAUAUCUGGAGGAACACCGGUGGCGAAGGCGGCGUUCUGGACUGCAACUGACGCUGAGGAGCGAAAGCGUGGGGAGCGAACAGG
rnacentral:rRNA from 1 species